GAGCGAGUAGUGGAGUGUACUGGUGUGAGUCUGCAACACAGUCCAGCAAUGCAGCCAACAUCACUACACACAGUGGUGAUGUCAUCCUGGUGAGUUCUGUCCAUCCUGUGACUGAGGGACAUUCGGUCACUCUUGGCUGCAUGUUGAGGACAAAAGAACUUCUUGAUGAAGUGGAUUUCUAUAAAAAUGACAAACUCCUCCCAAAUCCUCUCAAAAGGGAGCUGUUUAUCUCUGCAGUUACUAAGUCAGAUGAAGGCUUUUAUAAAUGUAGAGGAAGGAAUUCACCUCCAGGUUUGGAGAAUUUGACCUCAGCAGAGAGCUGGUUGUCAGUGGAACAUCCUGAAGAAGCAGCAACAAGCUCUGUGUUUCUCGUGC